CCUACGGGAGGCAGCAGUGAGGAAUAUUGGUCAAUGGGCGCGAGCCUGAACCAGCCAAGUCGCGUGAGGGAAGACGGUCCUAUGGAUUGUAAACCUCUUUUGUCGGGGAGCAAAAGACGCCACGCGUGGCGUUCCGAGAGUACCCGAAGAAAAAGCAUCGGCUAACUCCGUGCCAGCAGCCGCGGUAAUACGGAGGAUGCGAGCGUUAUCCGGAUUUGUGGGGUUUAAGGGGUGCUCAGGCGGAAGAUCAAGUCAGCGGUAAAAUUGAGGGGCUCAACGUCUUCGAGCCGUUGAAACUGGUUUUCUUGAGUGAGUGAGAGGUAGGCGGAAUGCGUGGUGUAGCGGUGAAAUGCAUAGAUAUCACGCAGAACUCCGAUUGCGAAGGCAGCAUACCGGCGCUCAACUGACGCUCAUGCACGAAAGUGUGGGUAUCGAACAGGAUUAGAUACCCCAGUAGUC
rnacentral:rRNA from 1 species